rnacentral:tRNA from 1 species
GAAAAAGUAACUCAGUUGGUAGAGUGCUGGUUUGUCAUACCAGUGGUCGCGGGUUCAAGUCCCGUCUUUUUCGA